UCUGUUUAUAGGUAUUUCACCAAGUAGACAAAAAUUCUACUGUGUCUUGAAUGUCAGUAGGUGCCAGACAGGAAACAGUCUAUGUCUAAACUCAGUGUUCUGACUUUUGAACAUCUAGAUGAUUAGUAGCUUAAUAUU